rnacentral:lncRNA from 1 species
UAUGUACACCUGAAAGAAAAACUUUACAAUAAUAAUCUCUGAAAAUAACUUUAAAAAUAUAAAGUAUUAUAUAGGUAAAAGUUAUUUUCAGAGAUUAUUAUUCUAAAGUUUUUCUUUCAGGUGUACAUAAAGCUGCCAGCAAACGGUCUGUCAAAAAACAGCAACUUCUGACGACUCUUCCAAGCCAGGAAGCUUCCACCUCGCGGGAGUUAUUUUAUGCAGAUUUGUGCACUGCGUUGGUUUCAGCAGAUAUACCUCUCUCUAAAUUACAAAAUCCUGUUUUUAAAAAUUUUCUUGAAAAAUAUACCAAUAAAUCCAUUCCAGAUGAGAGCACUUUGGGAAAGAAUUACUUACAGCCUUGCUACUAAAAACUCUUCAACUAUUAAAAAACAAAAUCAGGAAAAAUUUUGUGUAUUUAAUGAUUGAUGAAACCACAGACACUCGUGGACAUUAUAUUGCAAAUUUGAUUAUAGUCAUUUUAGAC